rnacentral:rRNA from 1 species
GCUUGCUUUCUUUGCUGGCGACCGGCGCACGGGUGAGUAACACGUAUCCAACCUACCCUUUACUCGGGGAUAGCCUUUCGAAAGAAAGAUUAAUACCCGAUAGCAUAAUGAUUCCGCAUGGUUUCAUUAUUAAAGGAUUCCGGUAAAGGAUGGGGAUGCGUUCCAUUAGGUUGUUGGUGGGGUAACGGCCCACCAAGCCUUCGAUGGAUAGGGGUUCUGAGAGGAAGGCCCCCCACAUUGGAACUGAGACACGGUCCAAACUCCUACGGGAGGCAGCAUG